CCUACGGGAGGCAGCAGUGGGGAAUUUUGGACAAUGGGCGCAAGCCUGAUCCAGCAAUGCCGCGUGAGUGAAGAAGGCCUUCGGGUUGUAAAGCUCUUUUGUCAGGGAAGAAACGGUGGGAGCUAAUAUCUCCCGCUAAUGACGGUACCUGAAGAAUAAGCACCGGCUAACUACGUGCCAGCAGCCGCGGUAAUACGUAGGGUGCAAGCGUUAAUCGGAAUUACUGGGCGUAAAGCGUGCGCAGGCGGUUUUGUAAGUCUGUCGUGAAAGCCCCGGGCUCAACCUGGGAAUUGCGAUGGAGACUGCAAGGCUUGAAUCUGGCAGAGGGGGGUAGAAUUCCACGUGUAGCAGUGAAAUGCGUAGAGAUGUGGAGGAACACCGAUGGCGAAGGCAGCCCCCUGGGUCAAGAUUGACGCUCAUGCACGAAAGCGUGGGGGANACAACGAGUAUAGACUACCGUAGGUACGUACCACCGUACCCGUAAACGAUCGUACUACGUUAGUUGGUUUACGGUUUUAAUUACGUUAGGUAACGCGAGACGUACGUCGUAGUAAGUACGACCGCCGGUGGGUAGGUACGGUCGACGAGAACGUUAAACGUAACUAAGUAGUAGUAGUACGGCGUGAGACGUACGACGACGACGACGACGGAGGGAGGAGG
rnacentral:rRNA from 1 species